rnacentral:lncRNA from 1 species
GAGAGUUAGCAGACUGAUCUUUAUAGCUACUUGGGCAGGGUUGGAGAAAUGCAAGACUUCAGUGCAGUACAGGAAAGAAGAAUCAAAUAAAGCUGCUUCAAAAUUCACUUACUCAUUCAACAAAAUCUUGAUUGAGCAGUUGCUACGUAUCUGACAUAGUUCUACACACUCUAUCCGUGAGGAUAGAUAGUGAGCAAACCAAUGAAAAAGGAACAACAGUAAAUAAACAGAUAAGGAAGCUGAGAUGUAGAGCUGAAGUGUCUUGCCCAAGAUCAUUUGUCUAUUUUGCUAAUUUCUUUAAUAUCAGAAGACAGCUGGAUUCUCAUUUCUGCUUCUGCAUUCAGUCUAUUGUGAUAUAGCAUAUCAUGUAACUUCUGAAAAACUUCACUGUACACAGAUGCUGACCUCACAGACUCCCUGAAAGGAUCUCCAUGACCUCUAUGGUUCCUUAGACUGCACUUUGAGAACUAUUGACGUACAGGGAAAAAUGCUCUUGGUGUUCCAGUUAAGCACAGAAUAAAAUCUGGACUGUGUCAGUUUGUAAAGAUCUUAUGUCUACUUGGUCAUCAGCCAAGAAGGGAUUCCGAAGAUAGAAGAGGAGGCAUCAACACCGUGAACAUCAUGGCUGAGUUAUUUUGUGAGAGGGAUAAGCCUAAAGUAAAAACCUUGGAUUUGCCUCUGUCCUUGAACAUGCUAUCUGGAAAGAGUUUUCUUAAAAGUAUUGUUGUGAACACAUCCAUUUUCCCAGUAUAGUUGAAUGCAGGGUUUAAUAAAUGGAAUGAAUCUA